rfam:Branchiostoma floridae genomic scaffold BRAFLscaffold_14, whole genome shotgun sequence.
CCCAGCCUAGGGUGAUGUUGGCGGCAAGUGUGUGGUUGUGUCUGUCUCCAUUUGCUGUUGACAUCAGCCCCAGGCUUGC